CGCUCUGGGCGCGCCGGCCCGGAAGCGAACUACCGGUGCGCGGGGUGCGAAGGGACGGGUCCGCCGAUAGUAGGGACCCGCGCGUUGUCGCCUCGCCUCGAUUGCUGCGCCUGCAUGCACCCGGCCAUGCAAUUGUAUUGAUGCCUGUACCAUAAUUCGCGGUGUAACCUGCCGUUUGGGCGAGCAGCCGUGGCGGAGCUGUCCGAAGCGCAAACCAUCCGUCGAUGUCUCCCGCCGCGCGAGCGGCUUCUCGCUUUGGAUAGCUCGGCUCAAUGACUGCAUGUUGCUCUUGCCUUGCAUGUGCAGGCCGCGACAUCCUCCGCGCGUUAGAGAACCGCCACCGGUGGUUGCUCUUCGCGCAACACUGCUACACAUGCCAGCUACCGGACGGUGCCUGCGAGCUCGGCAAGCUCUGCACCUAUGGCAAGAAAACUCUGAAGCACGUGUCGCACUGCGAGGCAGAGCGGGAUGAGUGCCCCUACCCGCGCUGCCGCC
rnacentral:lncRNA from 1 species